GAUGAACGCUGGCGGCGUGCCUAAUACAUGCAAGUCGAGCGAACGGACGAGAAGCUUGCUUCUCUGAUGUUAGCGGCGGACGGGUGAGUAACACGUGGAUAACCUACCUAUAAGACUGGGAUAACUUCGGGAAACCGGAGCUAAUACCGGAUAAUAUUUUGAACCGCAUGGUUCAAAAGUGAAAGACGGUCUUGCUGUCACUUAUAGAUGGAUCCGCGCUGCAUUAGCUAGUUGGUAAGGUAACGGCUUACCAAGGCAACGAUGCAUAGCCGACCUGAGAGGGUGAUCGGCCACACUGGAACUGAGACACGGUCCAGACUCCUACGGGAGGCAGCAGUAGGGAAUCUUCCGCAAUGGGCGAAAGCCUGACGGAGCAACGCCGCGUGAGUGAUGAAGGUCUUCGGAUCGUAAAACUCUGUUAUUAGGGAAGAACAUAUGUGUAAGUAACUGUGCACAUCUUGACGGUACCUAAUCAGAAAGCCACGGCUAACU
rnacentral:rRNA from 1 species